rnacentral:rRNA from 1 species
CCCUUAGAUGUUCUGGGCUGCACGCGUGUUACAAUCGGGAGUACAACAAGAUUGCAAAUCCUAGUGGAUGAGUGGUUCUUCGAAAUUUUCUGAAGGCUGGGAUAGUUGAUUGAAAUUAUUCAACUCGAACGAGGAAUUCCUUGUAAUUGUAAUUCAUUAUAUUGUAAUGAAUACGUCCCUGCCCUUUGUACACACCGCCCGUCGCUCCUACCGAUUGAACGAUCCGGUGAAUUAUUUGGAGUAGCUCUGGAAGUUGCAGAACUUCCUAUGUCACGAAAUUUUGUAAACCUUAUCGUUUAGAGGAAGGAAAAGUCGUAACA